GAUUUAGUCUUUUUUUCCGUAUAGUUCGUGCCUCGUGGGCACUUUUCAAAUAUCAAAUAAUUAAAUAUAUUAAAUAAAAUCAGGAAUCAGGAAAUUAGCAAAUACGCAACUACACAUUCCAAAAGGUUGGACUUUAAAGUCCAUUUAUCUUUGACAAAUACUAAAAAAUAAAUAAACGUUUUGUAACCUUUAAUGAUUUCCUCUUCAAAAUUUACUCAGUAUAUUAUGAUGGGAGAUUCCUUAGAUAGUGUGGUUGACUCAGCUACUGAAACUCAAAACUCUAGCAUUGUUGAUUUUUCAACAUUUUCUAAUUAUUUACGAAAAGCUGUCUGUGUUCUGCAUCCUGAUGAAGAUGCAGUGCCUUGCGCAUUCAACAUUGCUUUGGAAGAUAAAAACAAUCAAGAAUAUGUUCGCAAAUUUUUGAGUGAUCCACAAGUUUGGGCACUUCAUAUACAGAGGAUUUCAAAUAAGGAAGAUGACAGCGGUGAAACUGAUGAUGAAAAGGAAAACAUUUUAUACUACAUAUCGAAUGAAAUUUGUUUUACGAGUGCUAAAAUGGUUUCUAUAGUUUUUACCAAAAGAAGUGCUACAGUCGAAGCCGAUAAAACAAUUCAUUCUCAAUUGCGAUUAAUUUUUUUUUCUGAUGGAUCUCCUUAUGAAACUUUACAUGCUAUUAGUAAAACUAUGGCUCCAUAUUUUAAAAGUUAUGUAAAGGAAAAAAGUAAAAUCGACAGAGAUGGAGACAAGAUGGCACCGUCAGUUGAAAAAAAAAUUGCUGAAUUAGAAAUGGGGCUGUUACAUUUGCAACAGAAUAUUGAUAUUCCAGAAAUUUCGUUACCAAUACACCCAGCAGUACAGCAAAUUAUUAAACAGUGUUCAGAGGAAGGUAGAAAACCAAAAGUUUCUGAUUUUGGCAGCAAAGUUGAAGAUUCUACUUUUUUAAAUCAAUUGCAAAAUGGUGUAAAUAGAUGGAUAAAAGAAAUACAAAAGGUUACUAAGUUGAAUAGGGAUCCUGAAUCUGGAACUGCUUUACAAGAAAUUUCCUUUUGGUUAAAUUUAGAAAGAGCAUUGCAUCGUAUUCAAGAAAAAAGAGAAAGCAUUGAAAUAUCAUUGACCCUUGAUAUAUUAAAACAUGGAAAACGAUUCCAUGCUACUGUCAGCUUUGACACUGAUACUGGAUUAAAACAAGCGUUAGCAACUGUAAAUGACUAUAAUCCGUUAAUGAAAGAUUUUCCAAUAAAUGAUUUGCUCUCGGCAACAGAAUUAGAACGUAUUCGAUCAGCCAUUCAACAAAUUUUUAUACACUUAAGGAAAAUAAGAAAUACCAAAUAUCCUAUCCAACGUGUUUUACGCCUUGUUGAAGCUAUCUCUAGAGAUUUGGGUCAACAAUUAUUAAAAGUAUUGGGAACCCGAAGACUUAUGCAUAUACCGUUUGAAGAUUUUGAAAAAGUAAUGACGCAGUGUUUUGAACUCUUUAAUACUUGGGAUGAUGAGUAUGAUAAAUUAACGCAGUUAUUGAGAGAAGUCGUGAAAAGAAAACGAGAUGAGCAUAUGAAAAUGGUUUGGAGAGUUUCUCCUGCCCAUAAAAAAUUACAAACGAGAAUGGAACACAUGAGGCGUUUUCGUCGUCAACAUGAACAACUGAGAACUGUCAUAGUACGGGUUCUAAGACCGGUUCGUCAAACCAAUACUUCAUCUAUUGAUAAUAAUGACAGUGAUGUAAAAUUGGAUUUUGCAUUUGACGCUGCCGAUGCUAAUGCUAUCAGCGAAGUCAAUUUAGCUUACGAAAAUGUCAAAGAAGUUGAUUGUUUAGAUAUAACUAAAGAAGGACUAGAGUCCUGGGAAGCAGCUGUAAAUCGAUAUGAAGAACGAAUCGAGCGUGUAGAAGCAAGAAUCACAGCGCAUCUUCGAGACCAACUAGGAACAGCAAAAAAUGCUAAUGAAAUGUUCCGUAUUUUCUCCCGAUUUAAUGCUCUUUUUGUUAGGCCUCACAUAAGAGGGGCUAUUAGAGAAUAUCAAACUCAAUUAAUACAGCGAGUCAAAGAUGACAUUGAAACGCUCCAUGAAAAAUUUAAGGUUCAAUACGCUCAAAGUAAAUGCUACAAAAUGAGUAUGGUGCGUGAUCUUCCACCCAUAGCUGGUUCAAUAAUUUGGGUAAAACAAAUAGAUUUUCAACUAACCAUGUACUUAAGACGUGUUGAAGAUGUUCUGGGUAAAGGGUGGGAAAAUCACAUAGAAGGUCAAAAAUUAAAGGCUGACGGUGACAGCUUUCGGAUGAAACUUUCUACGCAAGAGAUUUUUGAUGAGUGGGCUAGAAAAGUUCAACAACGCAAUAUCGGUGUCACUGGGCGUAUCUUUACAAUAGAAAGUAUAAGAUCACGGUCCGGACGAGGAAACAUUUUAAAGUUAAAAGUGAAUUUCUUACCUGAAAUUAUUACGCUGUCAAAGGAAGUGAGAAAUUUGAAAAAUCUUGGAUUUCGUGUCCCUAUUGCCAUUGUUAAUAAAGCACAUCAGGCGAAUCUACUUUAUCCGUUUGCCAUUAGUCUUAUUGAAAGUAUCCGAACAUAUGAAAGAACACUAGAAAAGAUUGAAGAUAAAUCAAAUAUUAUACCUUUAAUUGCCGGAUUGCGUAAAGAUGUUUUAGCACUUGUAUCAGAAGGAAUCACGUUAAUUUGGGAAAGUUACAAAUUAGAUUCAUACGUUCAACGAUUAUCAGACAUAGUUUUAUCAUUCCAAGAAAAAGUUGAAGAUCUUCUUGUUGUUGAAGAACAACUUGAUGUUGAUGUUAGAUCGUUAGAGACAUGCCCUUACUCGGCAAAUACAUUUUCUGAUAUUUUAAUAAAAAUACAAAAGUCUGUUGAUGAGUUAUCGCUCAAAAACUUUUCGAACCUUCACAUAUGGGUGUCAAGACUUGAUGAAGAGGUGGAAAAAAAUCUUGCAUUUCGCCUUGAGGCGGGUAUCAAAGCAUGGACUGAUGCUCUUAUGGGGCAAAAGAAAGAAGUUGAUUUAAGUAUGGAUACAGAUGCUCCUUCACAACCUACUCAUAGGUUAGGUGGUGAUCCAAAAAUACAAAAUCAAUUACACGAAGUCCGAAUAACAAAUCAAACAAUGUAUUUGUAUCCAAGCAUUGAGGAUGCUCGAUUUCAAAUAAUGCAACAAUUAUUCUCUUGGCAAGCUAUUGUCACGUCACAGGCUCGCCUACAAAGUUCAAGAUACCAAGUCGGCUUAGAUAAACAAGAGUCAAGUACUUACAGAAAUUUACUAACAAAAUUACCAUCUGGUAAAAAUUCGUUAGAGGCAGCUUACGAUGCUAUAGAGUUUAAAAUGGACGAAAUCGUUAGUUAUGUUGAUCAGUGGUUAAGGUAUCAGUCACUAUGGGAUUUGCAACCUGAAAAUUUAUAUGGUAAAUUAAACGAAGAUAUUUCAUUAUGGAUGAAGUGCUUAAAUGAUAUUAAAAAAACGCGGACCACUUUUGACACAUCAGAUACAAGAAGAGAAUUCGGACCUGUCAUUAUAGAUUUUGCUAAAGUUCAAAGUAAAGUUUCGUUAAAAUACGAUUCUUGGCAUAAAGAAACAUUGGGUAAAUUUGGAUCCCUACUUGGAAAUGAAAUGGCAAGUUUCCAUGUACAAGUUUCACGAUCAAGAAGUGAUUUAGAAUCGCAUUCUAUUGAAGCAGCAAGCACUUCGGAUGCGGUCAGUUUUAUAACGUAUGUGCAGUCUUUAAAACGGAAAAUGAAAGUUUGGGAAAAACAGGUCAAUAUCUAUAGAGACGGCCAAAGGAUUCUCGAACGUCAGCGAUUUCAGUUUCCAUCGCAGUGGCUACAUGUCGAUAACAUAGAAGGUGAAUGGGGUGCUUUUAACGAAAUUAUAAAAAGGAAAGAUACCUGUAUUCAAACUCAAGUAGCAUCAUUACAAUUAAAGAUAGUUGCAGAAGAUAAAGCUAUUGAAACUAGAACAUGUGAUUUUCUUAAUGAUUGGGAACAAGGAAAACCCGUUGAAGGGCACUUACGACCAGACGAUGCUUUACAGCAACUUCAGUUGUUCGAGAACAAAUACACACGACUAAAAGAAGAGCGAGAUAAUGUUGCUAAAGCCAAAGAAGCUUUAGAACUUUUAGAACCUGGAGUUAUAAGCGUAAAUGAGGAUCGGAUGCAAGUGGUCUUUGAAGAACUUCAAGAUUUAAAAGGAGUUUGGUCAGAAUUAUCAAAAAUCUGGACGCAAAUUGAUGAAACACGAGAAAAACCAUGGCUUUCCGUUCAACCCAGGAAACUUCGCCUACAAUUAGAUACUAUGUUAACGCAAUUGAAAGAGUUACCUGCAAGAUUACGUCAAUAUUCUUCAUACGAAUAUGUAAAAAAAUUACUUCAAAACUAUACUAAAGUAAACAUGUUAAUUGUUGAACUUAAAUCAGAUGCCUUGAAAGAAAGGCAUUGGAAAUUAUUAAUGAAGCAUUUAAGAGUAGAUUGGUUGCUGAGUGAAUUAACUCUUGGACAAGUAUGGGAUGUUAAUCUUCAAAAGAAUGAAGGAGCAGUCAAAGAUAUUAUUUUAGUAGCACAAGGCGAAAUGGCUCUGGAAGAAUUUUUAAAACAAGUACGAGAAUCAUGGCAGAAUUAUGAAUUAGAAUUAAUUAACUAUCAAAAUAAGUGCCGGUUAAUUCGAGGUUGGGACGAUCUUUUCAACAAAGUAAAGGAACACAUUAAUUCAGUUGCUGCAAUGAAAUUAUCCCCUUAUUACAAAGUAUUUGAAGAAGAAGCACUUACUUGGGAAGAAAAACUUAAUCGAAUUAAUUCUCUGUUCGAUAUCUGGAUAGAUGUGCAAAGAAGAUGGGUAUAUUUAGAAGGUAUUUUUUCAAGUAGCGCUGAUAUAAAAACGCUUUUACCGGUUGAGACAUCUCGUUUUCAAAGUAUCAGUUCUGAAUUUCUUGGUUUAAUGAAAAAAGUUUCAAAAAGUCCUAUGGUUAUGGAUAUUUUAAAUAUUCCUGGAGUACAAAGGUCAUUGGAGCGUCUUGCAGAUCUUCUCGGCAAAAUUCAAAAAGCGUUGGGAGAAUAUUUAGAAAGAGAAAGAAAUUCUUUUCCACGUUUUUAUUUUGUUGGCGAUGAAGAUCUGUUAGAAAUAAUUGGAAAUAGUAAGAACGUAGCAAGGCUUCAAAAACAUUUCAAGAAAAUGUUUGCAGGGGUCGCAUCAAUAAUACUUAACGAAGACAAUACAAUAGUUAUUGGUAUAGCUUCUAGAGAGGGAGAAGAAGUAAUUUUUCAAAAUCCUGUAUCAACCAUAAAUCAUCCUAAAAUCAAUGAAUGGCUUAGUCUGGUGGAGAAAGAAAUGCGGGUUACUCUAGCGUCUAGUCUCGCUAGUGCUGUGCAGGACAUAAAAGAAUUAAAAGGUGAAAAAAUGAGUUCAUCAGCUCUUAUGAGUUGGUGCGAUAAAUAUCAAGCUCAAAUCAUCAUUUUGGCAGCACAGAUUCUUUGGUCAGAAGAUGUAGAAACUGCAUUGCAAGAAUUUCAAGAUAAUGUGGGAUCAAAUCCUCUUGAUCGCGUACUUUUUCAGGUCGAAAGUACGUUAAACGUUUUAGCUGAUUCUGUUUUGCAAGAACAGCCACUCUUGCGCAGAAAGAAGCUUGAGCACUUAAUAAAUGAAUUCGUUCAUAAACGCACUGUUACAAGAAGAUUAAUUUAUAAUAACGUCUCGAAUCCAAAGGCGUUUGAGUGGCUUUGCGAAAUGAGAUUUUAUUUUGAUCCUAAACAAAUUGAUGUUCUUCAACAACUUACUAUACAUAUGGCAAAUGCUAAAUUCUUUUAUGGUUUUGAAUAUUUGGGGGUUCAAGAUAGACUUGUACAAACACCAUUAACAGAUAGGUGUUAUCUAACAAUGACACAAGCUUUAGAGUCUCGUUUAGGUGGUUCGCCAUUUGGACCCGCUGGUACUGGAAAAACUGAAUCCGUUAAAGCACUUGGACACCAAUUAGGACGAUUUGUAUUAGUUUUCAACUGCGAUGAAACUUUUGAUUUUCAGGCUAUGGGUCGUAUUUUUGUAGGCUUAUGUCAAGUGGGUGCAUGGGGCUGUUUUGAUGAAUUUAAUAGAUUGGAAGAAAGAAUGUUAUCAGCUGUUUCGCAACAAGUACAAACCAUUCAGGAAGCUUUAAAAAGUCAAAUUGAAGGAAAAAAGGAUGAAGGUUUAUGUGUAGAAUUAGUAGGAAAGCAAGUGAAAGUAUCAACGGACAUGGCGAUAUUUAUUACAAUGAAUCCCGGUUACGCUGGAAGGUCUAAUUUGCCAGAUAAUCUGAAAAAGUUGUUUAGAUCAUUAGCAAUGACAACACCUGACCGUCAACUUAUUGCUGAAGUUAUGUUGUUUAGUCAAGGAUUCCGAUCUGCUGAAAAAUUGGCUUGCAAAAUUGUUCCGUUUUUCAGAUUGUGCGAUGAACAGCUAUCAAAUCAAUCUCAUUAUGAUUUCGGUUUACGAGCGUUGAAAUCAGUUCUUAUUUCAGCAGGAAAUGUUAAACGCGAUCGUAUUCAAAAAAUUAAGGAAGGUAUGGAAACUCGUGGAGAAAGACAAAUAGAUGAAGCUUCAAUAGCUGAAAAUUUGCCUGAACAAGAAAUUCUAAUACAAUCCGUUUGCGAAACUAUGGUACCUAAGUUAGUAGCAGAAGAUAUACCAUUACUCUUUAGUUUAUUGAGCGAUGUUUUCCCUAACGUUGAUUAUACGCGAGCUGAAAUGAAAGGUUUAAAACAUGAGAUAAAAAAAGUUUGUAGUGAAGAAUAUUUAGUUUGCGGUGAAGGAGAUGAGCUUGGUGGAGCUUGGCAAGAAAAGGUUCUUCAGCUAUAUCAGAUUUGUAACUUAAAUCAUGGUCUCAUGAUGGUAGGUCCCAGUGGAUCUGGUAAAACGAGUGCUUGGCAAGUUUUACUAAAAGCAUUGGAAAGAUAUGAAGGUAUUGAAGGAGUAGCUCAUGUAAUCGAUCCAAAAGCCAUUAGCAAAGAAACACUUUAUGGAGUUCUUGAUCCAAACACGCGAGAAUGGACUGAUGGUCUUUUUACGCACAUUUUACGAAAAAUUAUCGAUAAUGUUCGAGGAGAAAUUAACAAAAGACAGUGGAUAAUAUUCGACGGAGAUGUUGACCCUGAGUGGGUAGAAAAUCUUAAUUCAGUUCUUGAUGAUAAUAAACUGCUUACUUUACCUAAUGGAGAACGUUUAAGCCUUCCACCAAACGUAAGGAUAAUGUUUGAAGUACAAGAUUUAAAAUAUGCCACAUUAGCAACAGUUUCUCGAUGUGGAAUGGUGUGGUUUUCUGAAGAUGUAUUAUCAACUGAAAUGAUUUUUGAUAAUUACUUGUUGCGUCUAAAAAAUAUUGCUUUGGAUGAUGGUGACGAAGAUAAUAUUGUAAAAAAACCUAUAGAAAAAGAUGAUGCUCUAUCUCCAACAUUGUCAGUUCAACACGAGGCUGCAAAUAUCUUACAUACUUUCUUUUCACCUGAUGGUUUAGUGGUAAGGUGUUUAGAAUAUUCAGCGAAACAGGAACAUAUAAUGGAUUUUACCAGAUUAAGAGCAUUAAAUUCACUCUUCUCUAUGUUAAAUCAAUCACUUCGAAAUAUUUUACAAUAUAAUCACUCUCAUUCCGAUUUUCCUCUACCUAAUGAACAAGUAGAGCGAUACAUUACGAAAUCGCUUAUCUAUGCUAUAUUAUGGAGCUUCACCGGGGAUGCAAAAUUAAAAGUUAGAUCAGAUUUUGGUGAUUUUAUUAGAUCUUUUACUACAGUACCUUUACCAUCACAAACAAAUAUUCCAAUUAUUGAUUUUAAAGUUGACAUUCAUGGAGAAUGGCAACCGUGGAGCAAUAAAGUUCCACAAAUUGAAGUUGAAACUCAUAAAGUAGCUUGUCCAGAUGUUGUUGUUCCUACCUUGGAUACUGUCAGACAUGAAAGUUUACUGUACACGUGGCUAGCUGAGCACAAACCAUUAGUUCUCUGUGGACCACCUGGAUCUGGAAAAACCAUGACUCUUUUUUCUGCUCUAAGAGCCUUGCCAGAUAUGGAAGUUGUCGGGUUAAACUUUUCAUCUGCUACAACUCCAGAACUUUUGUUAAAAACAUUCGAUCAUUAUUGUGAAUAUCGCAAAACUCCAAAUGGAGUUGUUCUUUCACCGGUACAACUUGGAAAAUGGCUCGUACUUUUUUGUGAUGAAAUUAAUUUACCUGAAAUGGAUAAUUAUGGUACGCAACGGGUAAUUUCAUUCUUACGCCAACUUGUGGAACAUAAAGGAUUCUUCCGAACUAGUGAUCAAGCUUGGGUAUCAAUAGAGAGAAUUCAAUUCGUUGGUGCAUGUAAUCCACCCACUGACCCAGGCCGAAAGCCCUUGAGUUACAGAUUUUUACGUCAUGUUCCUGUAAUUUAUGUUGAUUAUCCUGGCGAAGUUUCAUUAAAACAAAUUUAUGGCACAUUCACGCGAGCUAUGCUAAGGCUUAUUCCACCUUUGAGAGGAUAUUCUGAACCAUUAACCAAUGCAAUGGUAGAGUUUUAUUUAACGUCUCAAGAGAGAUUCACCCAAGACAUGCAACCACAUUAUGUUUAUUCACCGAGAGAAAUGACGAGAUGGGUGAGAGGUAUAUGUGAAGCAAUAAGACCUCUCGACAAUCUAUCAAUCGAUGGUUUAGUACGUCUUUGGGCUCAUGAAGCACUCCGACUUUUUCAAGAUCGAUUGGUUGAUGAUAAUGAACGUGCCUGGACAAAUAAAACUAUUGAUAUUGUAGCUUUAAAGCAUUUCCCUUGUAUAAACCGAGAAAAUGCUUUAGAACGUCCUAUAUUAUAUAGUAACUGGCUUUCCAAAGAUUAUGUUCCAGUUAGCCGACAAGAACUACGUGAUUAUGUUAGAGCUAGACUAAAAGUUUUUUACGAGGAAGAACUAGAUGUUCCUUUAGUUUUAUUCGAUGAAGUUUUGGAACACGUUCUCAGAAUCGAUAGAAUAUUCAGGCAACCACAAGGACAUCUUCUAUUGAUAGGAGUCUCAGGUGCUGGAAAAACAACCCUUUCACGAUUCGUUGCUUGGAUGAAUGGUCUUUCUGUUUUCCAAAUCAAGGUUCAUAACAAAUACACAGCUGAUGAUUUUGAUGAAGAUUUGCGGCAAGUUCUUCGCAGAUCUGGUUGUAAAGAUGAAAAAAUAGCUUUCAUUCUUGAUGAAUCAAAUGUUCUAGAUUCUAGUUUCUUGGAACGAAUGAAUACUCUUCUUGCGAAUGGUGAAGUACCUGGCCUCUUUGAGGGUGAUGAGUACACGACUUUAAUGACACAAUGUAAAGAAGGUGCACAGAGAGAAGGUUUAAUGCUUGAUUCGAAUGAAGAAUUAUAUAAAUGGUUCACAGGUCAAGUAAUGAAAAAUCUUCAUGUAGUUUUUACAAUGAAUCCUAGUACAGAUGAAUUGAAAAAUAGAGCUGCUACAUCACCAGCACUUUUUAACCGCUGCGUUCUCAAUUGGUUUGGAGAUUGGUCCGAUAAUGCUCUGUUCCAAGUCGGAAAAGAAUUUACGAACCGCAUAGAUUUAGAUAACCAACAUUGGAAAUGUCCAGAUUAUUUUCCAUCUACUUGUUCAUUACUCGUAGGUCAGGCAACGCAUAGAGAUGCUGUUAUUAAUGCGUGCGUUUACGUGCAUCAAACGCUUCACAAAGCUAAUACAAGAUUAUUGAAACGGGGUUGCCGAACCAUGUUUAUUACUCCAAGACAUUAUCUAGAUUUUAUUAACCAUUUUGUUAAAUUGUACCAAGAGAAACGUAGUGAUCUAGAAGAACAACAGUUACAUUUAAACGUUGGUCUUAGCAAGAUAGCGGAAACCGUAGAGCAGGUGGAAGAAAUGCAAAAGAGUUUAGCUGUAAAAUCACAAGAACUUCAAGCAAAAAACGACGCUGCUAAUGCGAAAUUAAGACAAAUGGUGAAAGAUCAACAAGAAGCCGAGAAGAAAAAGGUUCAAAGCCAAGAAAUACAACAGCAACUAGCUACUCAAACUGUAGCAAUUAAUGAAAAACGUGAUGAUGUUAUGGCAGAUCUUGCUCAGGUAGAACCAGCUGUCAUUGAUGCGCAGAAUGCCGUAAAAUCAAUAAAGAAGCAACAUUUAGUUGAAGUUCGAUCAAUGGCUAAUCCUCCUGCCAUUGUGAAAGUUGCAUUAGAAUCAAUUUGCCUUCUACUGGGCGAAAAUGCAAGUGAUUGGAAGUCGAUACGUGCAGUGAUAAUGAGAGACAAUUUUAUCAAUACUAUAGUCUCCAAUUUUAGCACAGAAAAUAUUACUGAUGAAGUCCGAGAAAAAAUGAAAAGUAGAUACCUUUGCAAUCCAGAAUAUAAUUUUGAGAAAGUUAACAGAGCUAGUAUGGCAUGUGGACCUAUGGUGAAGUGGGCAAUCGCUCAGAUUGAAUAUGCUGAUAUGCUUAAGCGUGUUGAACCACUUAGAGAAGAACUUUACUCUUUGGAACAACAAGCAGAAAAUAAUAAAUGUAAAGGAGAAGAAGUAAAGGAUUUAAUUUCUCAAUUAGAAAUAAGUAUAGCGUCUUAUAAAGAAGAAUAUGCUCAAUUAAUAUCCCAAGCACAAGCUAUUAAAACUGAUUUAGAAAAUGUUCAAGGAAAAGUCGAUCGAUCAAUAGCUCUUCUCAAAUCUUUAGUAAUUGAAAGAGAAAGGUGGGAAGCAACUAGCGAAACUUUUCGUAGUCAGAUGUCUACAAUUAUAGGUGAUGUGCUACUAUCCUCAGCUUUCUUAGCAUACGCUGGAUAUUUUGAUCAGCAUUAUCGGCAGAAUUUAUUUACAACAUGGUGUCAGCAUUUGCAUAGUGCUAAUCUUCAGUUUCGACCAGAUAUUGCUCGUACAGAAUACUUAUCGAAUCCCGACGAACGUUUAAGAUGGCAAGCUCAUGCGUUACCCGCAGAUGAAUUAUGUACUGAAAAUGCUAUAAUGUUGAAACGUUUCAAUAGAUACCCUUUGAUUAUAGAUCCUUCUGGACAAGCUACAGAGUUUUUAAUUAAUGAAUAUAAAGAUAGAAAAAUUACAAAAACUAGUUUUCUUGAUGAUUCAUUUAGGAAAAAUUUAGAGAGUGCAUUAAGAUUCGGAAAUCCGUUGCUUGUACAAGAUGUUGAAAAUUAUGACCCUAUUCUGAAUCCCGUUUUGAAUAGAGAAUUAAGACGUACAGGUGGUCGAGUACUUAUAACACUUGGAGAUCAAGAUAUUGAUUUAUCACCAUCAUUUGUAAUAUUUUUAUCAACAAGAGACCCAACCGUUGAAUUCCUUCCUGACAUUUGUUCACGUGUUACGUUUGUUAACUUUACUGUAACUCGUAGUUCUCUACAAAGUCAAUGUUUGAAUCAAGUUCUUAAAACCGAACGACCUGAUAUUGAUGAGAAACGCUCUGAUUUAUUAAAGUUACAAGGAGAAUUUCAUUUACGCCUAAGACAGCUUGAAAAAUCUCUAUUACAAGCUCUUAAUGAUGCCAAAGGUAAAAUAUUAGAUGAUGAUUCUGUUAUAACUACACUUGAAACAUUAAAGCAAGAAGCUGCAGAUAUUAGCAAAAAAGUUGAAGAAACUGAUAAGGUUAUAGCAGAAAUAGAAACUGUUUCUCAACAAUAUUUACCUUUGUCACAAGCAUGUUCAAAUAUAUAUUUCACAAUGGACAGUUUGAAUCAAAUACAUUUUCUAUAUCAAUACUCUUUAAAAAUGUUUCUAGAUAUUUUCACAUCUGUUUUAACAAGAAAUUCAAAAUUAUCUGGAGUAUCGGAUUAUGUCCAACGUUUAUCGUUCAUAACAAACGAUCUUUUUUCAGUUUGCUAUGAAAGAGUUGCAAGGGGAAUGUUGCAUAACGAUCGACUUACUUUUGCUUUACUGUUAUGCCGAAUUCAUCUCAAGGGAAUAGCAUCGGGAGUUACUUAUGAUAAUGAAUUUACAUUCUUUUUACGAGGAAAAGAAGGGGUUUUGAACGUACGCAUUCCUCAUAUUCCAAAUUUAAGUUCCGAACAACAAGAAGCAUUAGUGCGCUUAAGUACUAGAUUACCAGCAUUUCGAAAACUGACUGAUUUGAUUCAAAAUAAUUCUGAAUUUAAUUCAUGGCUACAGUCUCCUACGCCAGAGACAUGUGUACCUAAACUUUGGGAAGAAGAAAAACCUUGUUCUUUAAUUGGAACAGCCAUGAAUCAACUAUUAAUAAUUCAAACAUUCAGGCCUGAUCGAGUGAUUGCGGCAGCAUCUUUAGUUGUCAUUUCCGUUCUAGGAGAUUCCUUCAUGAGCGCUGCUGAAACUGAAUUAGAAUUCUCGAGUGUAGUAGAAAAUGAAUUACAAUCAUCAAUACCUGCAUUACUAUGUUCUGUUCCUGGUUUUGACGCAUCGAGUAGAGUAGAUGAUUUAGCAGCAGAAUUUGGAAAGCCUAUUGUUAGCAUCGCUAUUGGUUCAGCUGAAGGUUUCAGUCAAGCUGACAGAGCAAUUAAUACAGCCGUUAAAGCUGGUAGAUGGGUGCUAUUAAAAAAUGUCCAUUUAGCACCGCAAUGGCUUGUCCAAUUGGAGAAGAAACUUCAUAGUUUGCAACCGCAUCAUAAUUUUAGAUUGUUUUUAACAAUGGAAAUAAAUUCUAAAGUUCCAGUUAAUUUACUUAGAGCUGGACGUAUAUUUGUCUUUGAGCCUCCACCUGGUAUAAGAGCAAACCUUUUAAGAACAUUUAGCACUGUCCCAGCUUCAAGAAUGAUGAAAGCACCAAAUGAGAGGGCACGUUUGUAUUUCCUGUUAGCAUGGUUUCAUGCUAUUGUCCAGGAGCGUCUACGUUACGUACCAUUAGGAUGGGCAAAGCAUUAUGAAUUUAAUGAAAGUGAUUUAAGAGUUGCUUGUGAUACACUUGAUACAUGGAUUGAAACGACAGCAAUGGGUAGAACAAAUUUACCACCAGAAAAGGUACCUUGGGACGCCUUAAUAACGCUCAUGUCACAGUGCAUUUAUGGUGGAAAAAUAGAUAAUGAUUUUGAUCAGCGUUUGUUAACGUCUUUUCUUCGAAAACUUUUUACAUCAAGAUCUUUUGAAGCAGAUUUUGCUCUAGUUGCUAACGUUGAUGGGACUUUAGGAAAUCAACGCCAUAUAACUAUGCCCGAUGGAACGAGACGAGAUCACUUCUUAAAAUGGAUUGAGUCUUUAUCUGAUAAACAAACACCAUCUUGGCUUGGGUUACCUAAUAAUGCUGAAAAAGUUCUUUUAACAACAAGAGGAACAAAUUUAGUUUCUAAAUUACUAAAAAUGCAACAACUGGAAGAUGAAGAUGAAUUAGCGUAUUGCAAUGAAGAGUCUUUAGAUACUUGUAAAGAAGCAGAAUCGGAUGGUCGGCCGUCCUGGAUGAAAACUUUAUACAAUUCGGCUUCAACAUGGCUGCAGCUAUUACCAAAAAAUUUGGUUAUUUUAAAAAGAACUGUCGAUAAUAUCAAGGAUCCGUUAUAUCGUUAUUUUGAACGUGAGGUUAAUAGUGGAUCAAAACUACUGCAGGACGUUAUUCAUGAUUUAGAAGAUGUUGUUUUAAUUUGUCAGGGCGAGAAAAAGCAAACAAAUUAUCACAGAACAAUGCUUUCCGAAUUAAUUAAAGGAAUAUUGCCCGUUAAUUGGAGAAGAUAUACAGUUCCUCGGGGUUGUACUGUAAUACAAUGGAUAACAGAUUUCAGUCAUCGAGUUUCGCAAUUACAAGAAGUUUCAAGAUUAGUUUCACAGAGUGGUGCUAAGGAAAUAAAGGAUCAUCAAGUAUAAUCCAAUAAAGAACUGAUUUAAUUUUGGAGCCGAUUAACAAAGAUAAAGCGUGUCUAUGAAAGCUCAUCUGAGAUGUUACAAUUUUCCGGUAUGGCUUGGUGGUUUAUUUAACCCAGAAGCUUAUAUAACAGCUACCAGACAAUGUAUCGCACAAGCAAAUAGUUGGUCAUUAGAGGAGCUAGAAUUAGAUGUAUUCAUAUGCAACAAUGAUAAUACCUUACCUGAUAAUUGUUCAUUUGCAGUAACUGGUUUAAAACUGCAAGGAGCGCAAUGCAAAAAUAAUCAGUUAUAUUUAACAUCUACCAUUAUGACUGAUUUACAUGUUAUAAUGUUAAGGUGGAUACGAUGUUCUUCUGGAGAAACGAAAAAAAGCAAGCUAGCAUUACCUGUUUACUUAAAUAGCACACGAACAGAGUUACUAUUUACUGUUGACCUAAACAUAGCACCUAGCCAAGAUCCGCAUAGCUUCUAUGAAAGGGGCGUUGCUAUUUUGACAUCAACAGCAUUAAAUUAAUCUGCAACUUUAAAGGUCUCUAUAACAAUGUGUAUGGAAUAAAAAGAAUAAAAACAUUGUAAAUGAUUAAAUAAAAAAAAUAAAAAUAA